rnacentral:lncRNA from 1 species
CCAGGAGUCAGGAGCCUGGGUGGGUGCCACUGCAUCCACUGUCCCCAGUCUCUGUCUUUGCCAGGACUUUGGCGGCCUCGUCUCUGAAAUCCUAGAUGUGAUUCAGGGUUCCUUUACCUGGGUCAGUGGGGAUCCUUGCCCUCCUCUUCAGAGAAUCCUUUGGACUCUCAAGGCUCAUUCCAUGUUGCUGCCCAUGUGUGUUUCCAGUACAUAUGUAGCAGGCAAAAACACUUCUAGGAACCGAGAUCCCUGGCCAAGCAGGUUGGAAGUAUCUAGAAUUUUGCUCUGUUUCAAGGAGACAAAGAAAUUAUUAUUGUGGAUACUGACUACAAGAACUUUUCCAUCGUACUUAUCCAUCCUGGAAGAUAUAAAACAUACUUUCCAAUGAUAAAGCUGUACACCCGGAGCUUGAACAACACUGAGAAACACCUGAAUAAUUUCCAUUCGGUAGCCUUGGAGCAUGGGUUUUCAAACCUAGAUAUAUACUUUAUCUGGGAUGAAUUAGACUGUGUGAAAGAGAACAUAGUACAAUUGUUUUUCCUCAGUAGCUGAAUGAGGCCUCCAUGAUGGGGUCUGACACUCUCCUGCUUCCCUCUCAUGUUGCCCUGUCCUGCAGGGAGGUGGACCAAUUCCCUGAAGGAGGGACUGAUCUGAGGAGGAUACAAUAGCUCUGCCCACCUGACCUCUCCUGCCCCUACCCAAGGUGUUCCUUGGAUCUAUGCCAAAUAAACCUUGCUGCCACAAGCUGCCUAGCAUCUUUUCUGAGGGUAGG